AUGAAUGGCAAUAAUAAAAAUAAUAACUGCAGUGGCUCAAUAUCUACUACAGUAGCUUUUUAAAAUUCAUCAUAAUAUGACUAUGCAAGCUGUGUAAACUUCACGCAGCUGAUUCUUAUAAACUCGUCCAUCAUAUACAGUUUUAAUUAAGGACCUGGGGCAAUAUUUAUAAUUAAUACAGGAUUGGAUUGUGCAUUUUAUCCCAGCUUGCCCGUCAAUG